GAUUGAAGAGGAGAUGAUGUGAGGGAUGAGUAACAAAAGUGAAAGCAAAAACUAAAAACUGAAAUAUAUUCCAAAUUGUUUUCACUUUUGUUACUUUUUCCUCUCAUCUUCUCUCUCAAUCUUA
rnacentral:miRNA from 1 species